AGCAGCCGGCAACACCAUGCAUUCUGUGGUAUUUAUUUUGCUCCUUUUCUUGGCUGUUUCUGGAGCUGUUUCUGGGCACCAGCAUAGUCGGAGCUAUUCUGAAAGUGAUGAGGUGCUGUACUUGUUUCCGUACCCUAAGUAUUUCCGGUACCCUCCAGUUUUUGGCUUUCCCUUAUGGCCCUUCUUCCCGGGAAUGGUUCCACGGCCGGCCCCAGCACCGACGCCAACCACGACCACGACCCCCCGAGGAGAUGGACGAUAGGAGCUCCGUGUGCAAAAUGUUAGACUGAAAAAAUGCAGCGCUUGAAUUAAAUGCAAUGCUUUAAUGUUUAAACUAUAGCAGUUGACUAUGCAGCUAACUCACUUCAUGUGGUUUCGUGGGUCUGGAUUGGUUAAUGUUUUCAAGGUGAAAAGCGUCUGACCUUUCUUCUCUCCCGGACCUGAGCGGCUUUUUCCAAACAUAACCAUGGCAACGAAAUUUUCCUUUCGCUAUAACAGUCCUGUGUGACAUCUCUGAUUUAGCAAUGCACAUCAUACAAUCAAGAUACAUUUUAGCCUCUGUAUUUUUCAAAUAACUAUUUCUAUAUUUCCAAAUAACUCACUGCAAUAUGUGGAAAAAAAUGCAAUAAAUAAAAUUAAACCUGA